CCUUAGUUUGUGUUUUGAUCCAGCACUUGAAGAAGCUUUUUGGAUGUGCCUAACCUGCACUCUGUUUAAAAUUCAACAUUAUAAAUGAAUAAUUGAUUGAUCGCAUUUAUUGCUUAAUAUAUCUGACUCUUGUCACUGACAGUCUGAUGAGUGGAACGUUGCUUGAUGAAAACACGUUUUUUUUUUUUUUAAAAGAAUGAUAAACUAUGUCGCACCAAAGAUGAUUUGAUCACUGCAAGAGCUUAAGAAAAAGUGCAGACAUUUGCAGAGGACAUCACCAUUGACCCCGACACCGACU